UACGGAGGGGGCUAGCGUUGUUCGGAAUUACUGGGCGUAAAGCGCACGUAGGCGGCUUUGUAAGUUAGAGGUGAAAGCCCCAGGGCUUAACCCCUGGAAUUGCCUUUAAGACUGCAUCGCUAGAAUUGUGGAGAGGUGAGUGGAAAUUCCGAGUGUAGAGGUGAAAUUCGUAGAUAUUCGGAGGAACACCAGUGGCGAAGGCGGCUCACUGGUCCAUUACUGACGCUGAGGUGCG
rnacentral:rRNA from 1 species